UACGGAGGGUGCAAGCGUUAUCCGGAUUUACUGGGUUUAAAGGGUGCGUAGGUGGGCAGGUAAGUCAGUGGUGAAAUCUCCGGGCUUAACCCGGAAACUGCCAUUGAUACUAUCCGUCUUGAAUUUCCUGGAGGUAAGCGGAAUAUGUCAUGUAGCGGUGAAAUGCUUAGAUAUGACAUAGAACACCAAUUGCGAAGGCAGCUUACUACGGGAACAUUGACACUGAGGCACGAAAGCGUGGGGAUCAAACAGG
rnacentral:rRNA from 1 species